UACGUAGGUGGCGAGCGUUGUCCGGAAUUACUGGGCGUAAAGGGCGUGUAGGCGGGGAUUUAAGUCAGAUGUGAAAGACCCGGGCUUAACUUGGGCAUUGCAUUUGAAACUGGAUUUCUUGAGGACAGGAGAGGAAAGCGGAAUUCCUAGUGUAGCGGUGAAAUGCGUAGAUAUUAGGAGGAACACCAGUGGCGAAGGCGGCUUUCUGGCCUGUAACUGACGCUGAGGCGCGAAAGCGUGGGGAGCGAAC
rnacentral:rRNA from 1 species